AAGGAACGAGAGAAGGGCACACGGUGGAUGCCUAGGCUUCCAGAGGCGAUGAAGGACGCGGUAAGCGGCGAAACUCCCCGGGGAUCCGCAAACGGGACUAGAUCCGGGGGUGUCCGAAUGGGGCAACCCGCGCGCCGCAGUGGCGCGCACGCAGCGAUGCGGGCGAACGCAGGGAACCGAAACAUCCCAGUACCUGCAGGAGGAGAAAGAAAAAUCGAUUCCCCCAGUAGUGGCGAGCGAACGGGGAGUAGCCCAAACCGGUGCGGUCGAGGCCGCUCCGGGGUAGUAGGGCGGCGCGCAUGGCGCGCCUGGCGUCGGACGGGAAUGCGGCUGGAAAGCCGCUGACGCAGAGGGUGACAUCCCCGUACCGGAACGACGCGGGGGCGCGUUGCGCCGUGCCUGAGUACGGCAGGACACGGGUAAUCCGGUCGGAACCAGCGGGGCCCAUCCCGCAAGGCUAAAUACUCCUGGAAGACCGAUAGCGCACAGUACCGCGAGGGAACGGUGAAAAGCACCCCGGGAGGGGGAUGAAACAGAACCUGAACCCGUGUGUCCACAAGCGGUCGGAGCGGAGACGCGACGGCGUGCCUUUUGCAUAAUGAGCCUACGAGUUGCCGUCGCCGGCGAGGUUAAGCGCCUAAGGCGCGUGAGCCGGAGCGAGAGCGAGCCUGAACAGGGCGAUAGUCGGCGGCGGCAGACGCGAAACCCGGUGAUCUACCCUUGGCCAGGCUGAAGUCGGCGUGACAGUCGAUGGAGGGCCGAACCGAUGGACGUUGAAAAGUCCCCGGAUGAGCCGAGGGUAGGGGUGAAAGGCCAAUCAAACCGGGAGAUAGCUCGUACUCCCCGAAAUGCCUUUAGGGGCAGCCUCGGGAGAGACGCGCGGAGGUAGAGCGACCGAUAGGAUGCGAGGGCUUCGCCGCCUAUCAAUUCCUGACGAACUCCGAAUGCCGCGCGCUCGCUUCCCGGGAGUGAGUCGCCGGGUGCUAAUGUCCGGCGGCGAGAGGGGAACAGCCCAGAGCGCCGGCCAAGGCCCCCAAUAGCGGCCUGAGUUGAACGAACGAGGUGGGCCCGCAGUGACAGCUAGCAUGUUGGCUUGGAAGCAGCCAUUCAUUCAAAGAGUGCGUAACAGCUCACUAGUCGAGCGGGCCCGCGUGGAUGAUACACGGGCAUCAAGGCCGCAGCCGAAGCCGCGCGCCGCGAUUACGCGGCGGUAGGGGAGCAUUGCGGACGGCGUAGAAGCGGUGCCGCGAGGCUCCGUGGAGCGUCCGGAAAAGAAGAUGUAGGCAUGAGUAACGACAAUGCGGGCGGGAAACCCGCACACCGAAAACCCAAGGUUUCCUGAUCAACGCUAAUCGGAUCAGGGUAAGUCGGGUCCUAAGGGGCACCCGAGAGGGGCACCCGAUGGCCGAAUGGUCAAGAUUCCAUUACCUCCCCUUCCUGGCCCGAGCGGGGACGGAGAAGUGACACUGCCGCCGUGCGACGGAAUGCACGGUUUAAGGGGCGUAGGGGCCGAUGGCCCCGACCCCCGAAAGUACCGCGAGCCUUCGGGCGGGCGGAGAGCGCAGGUAAGCAUGCUCCCGAGAAAAUCCGCUCCGGGUGCGAUCAGGGAGGGGGGCCCGUACCGUAAACCGACACAGGUGGGUGGGGAGAGUAUCCCAAGGUGCUCGAGUGAGUCACGGCCAAGGAACUAGGCAAAAUGACCCCGUAACUUCGGGAGAAGGGGUCCUCGCGAGGGCGAGGCGCAGAGAAGUGGUCCAGGCGACUGUUUACCAAAAACACAUGGCUUUGCAAAAUCGAAAGAUGACGAAUAAGGCCUGACACCUGCCCGGUGCCGGAAGGUUAAGGGGGGGCGUGAGCGGAGACGCGGGGCGCCGAACCGAAGCCCCGGUAAACGGCGGCCGUAACUAUAACGGUCCUAAGG
rnacentral:rRNA from 1 species